rnacentral:rRNA from 1 species
GACAGAGGGUGCAAACGUUGUUCGGAAUUACUGGGCGUAAAGCGCGUGUAGGCGGCUAUGCAAGUCGGAUGUGAAAGCCCUCGGCUCAACCGGGGAAGUGCAUCCGAAACUGCAAAGCUAGAGUCUCGGAGAGGAUCGUGGAAUUCUCGGUGUAGAGGUGAAAUUCGUAGAUAUCGAGAGGAACACCGGUGGCGAAGGCGACGAUCUGGACGAUGACUGACGCUGAGACGCGAAAGCGUGGGGAGCAAACAGG